rnacentral:sRNA from 1 species
AUCACUUCGUAAAUGGGCACAUACAAAAAUAACUGAAAAAUAUGAAAAAAUAUUAUGUGAUUGGAUAUGUAAUAGAUGUCCUGGAUUUAAUUUACAUAUUGAUACAUCAUCUGUAUCAGGUAUGUGUCAAUAUCAAGUUGGAUUAAAUUUAGCAUUAUGGGCAAUUACAAAACCAGA